GUGACAUGAUGAAUUUGUUUAUCCAUUCGCUGAGCGCCGCCCGGUGGAGCCCGGUCUUCGUCCUUGUUCUAAGGACGGAGUCUCUGCACUUCAACGCGUUUUUUUGGCGUUCUGCUGAACAACGCUUGAAUUGUAUGAGUUGAGGGCUCCGCUGGCAGCUGCAGAGACGAUCGGAACGUUCUGAUCAC